GCCGACCCUAAGAACAUGCAAAAGUGUCUGGAGCAGAUGGGCCACCAUAGGGUUGGUAUCAGGUUUGAUGAAGCGAGUAUGAGAGAUGAACUCAAUGAGGAUAGACACGGUGAAAACCAUGAAAAGUGCUAAUACAUAAUAAGCAGUGUUAUGAGAAGGAAAACCAUCAAAGAGAAUCAAUGAAUCUUUUCCCCAAAAGAAUGUCAUAUGCAUCAUCAUCAUCUUAUGACGACCCAUCAUCAUGGUACCAUUGGUUGAUGACUUUGGUGCCAUUGACAUACCACCAUGCAUAUCCAUCACUUUCAGCAGCUGCUCUCUUCUCAUGUAAUGUACUACUUUUUUGUUAAUAUUAACGAGUAUUGUACUGCACUGCAUAUGUGGGUUAAUAUAGGUGAAACUAAAUUGUACGAGAAUUUGCCCAAUUUUGGAUAAAUAAGGCAAUUUUGGGUUUCUGUCAAAAAGAAAACAAGGCAAUUUUGGGUUUCUGUCCAAAUGCGCAUUAUACCUUUUGCUAUCUUUAAUAAUAUUAAUGAAUAUUGCAGGUCUCCUCCUAUACGCUAGGUCUCCGCAUAUAUACAAAAUCAAAUUUUCAAGAAACAAAUGGAAAAUAUCAGGCAUAUAUAUAGGUUAGGUGAAAUUAAAUUGUAGGUCGAUCUCUCCUCCUAUAAACAAAUAAAUCAUUUAUUUAAAUUGUGAUUUUUAUCAAAUUUUCACUUUUUUACUGCACAGUUUUUCUUUUUGACAAACUUUUAACUGCACAGCUAAAGUAUAUUAGCGUAGACUCCAAUGGAAGUAUAUGCUGACCCAAUACUAGAAAUGACACAUUUAAGAGCAGGUACGGAUCUAGAAUCUUUAGAGAGUGGGGGCAAUAUAUAUAUAUAUAUAGUUUAAAUAUAUAGAAUCUUUUGUGAGCAGCAUGAUGAAGAUGAAUUACAUGUGAUGUUCGGUUGUGAUGUUAGUGUUCUGGCGCAGCAAGCAGCAGGAUUGGGUUUUCACUUAGAUUGGUACCUUCAGCAAAAUUUCAAUGUUAGUGAUAUUAUCAAGUCUGCUCACGUGAAGACAAGGCAGCAGCAGGAUUAUUUGCCAU
rnacentral:lncRNA from 1 species